rnacentral:misc_RNA from 1 species
UGCCCAGUUGGAUCUGAAGCUGAAGCAACAAAAUCCCCAUGUAAGAAUACCCUAUCAACAACUUUUAUAUCAUUAACAUGUUGGAUUGGUUCUGUGUCAUCCAUCCAAAGUACUCGGACCUGGUCAGCCUGAAGGGUUUCAUUCUUAUAGUUACCACUACCUUUGCUCUUGUCACUGCUCCUGUUAGCAUUGGCAUUCCCAUCAGUAUCACCUUCUUGAUUUUCAUCAUCAACCUCAUCUCCCUCGUCUUCAUCUUCAUCUUCCUCAUCAUCAGUAAUGCUGCUAUCAGAAUCCGAGUCACCGGCAACUUCAUUCACUAUUCCAAUUGUCCCAGUCUUUUUACG